rnacentral:rRNA from 1 species
GACGAACGCUGGCGGCGUGCUUAACACAUGCAAGUCGAGCGGAGCGGCGAACGGGUGAGUAACGCGUGAGUAACUGCCCCCCUCUCUGGGAUAACAGUUGGAAACGGCUGCUCAUACCGGAUAGUGGGGGAUGGGUCGGGUCCUAUUAGCUUGUUGGUGGGGUAGUGGCCGCACAAGGCGACGACGGGUAGCCGGCCUGAGAGGGCGACCGGCCACACUGGGCUGAGCUACGCACCAAACUCCAACGGGAUGCAGUAGUGGGGAAUAUUGCACAAUGGGGGAAACCCUGAUGCAGCAACGCGCGUGCGGAAUGACGGCCUUCGGGUUGUAAACCGCUUUCAGCCAUGACGCGGUAGUGGCAGAAGAAGCACCGGCUAACUACGUGCCAGCAGCCGCGGUAAUAC